CAUAUACUCCCUCCGUCCGGAAAUACUUGUCAUCAAAAUGAAUAAAAGGGGAUGUAUCUAGAUGUACAUUAGUUCCAGAUACAUCCUUUUUUAUCCAUUUUGAUGACAAGUAUUUUCGGACGGAGGGAGUACAAG
rfam:Triticum aestivum genome assembly, contig: Triticum_aestivum_CS42_TGACv1_scaffold_328024_4BS